CUGUGUAUGUGUGUGUGUGUGUGUGUGUGUUUGUGCAUGUGUGAGUAUAAAACACAUCAGUUGCUGUACAACGGCCUCUGAAUCUCUAGAGAAUGCCAAAAACCUACUGUCAUCUUAAGUCUGGAUAUUUAUGUCUCAACAAAAUUUACAUGAGGAUAUUCUCAUCCAGAAAGCAAAGUCAUUGCCAGGUGAUAGUGGCUGACUGGACAUUCAUGAAUUGGAUUAGUGCCAUAAAGGAGGCCCAAGACACCUCUUAAGCUGUUCACCAUGUCAAGACCAGCAGUUCAUAUGUACCGUUUAUGAACCUGGUACACAGGCUUUCAUUAGAUGUCAAAUCCCCUUCUGUCAUGAUUGUGUAUGAAAUGAAUGCCUGUUUAUAAGACACCCAGUUAAUGGCACUUUGUGAUGGCAUCCUGGGAAGGCCGAGAGACAGGUUAACAGUUUAUUUUUAAAAUAUAAUUAUGCCUGACCACUAAGGAUUUAUUGUUCAGGCUAUCAGGGCGCUCCUCCAUAGAGAAAACUGAUUCUUGCUUUCUCAGUUAUCAUUGACUGCCUGUAGCUCUUCAUCAAAGGUGAAGAUUAACCACCACUGAGAUAAAUUAUAAAUAUGCAAAACUUUAACUUGAUACAAAAGAGAAAAUGGAAAGUUUUCCAAAGACGGUAACUGAAGGCUUACAAAAGAGUCAAAUAAUGUUAGACAAAGAAGAAUUGAGGUUUCUUUAUAAUUGGAAAUUUUUCAUAAAUAAUACUUGGGAAAUAGCGUGGAUCAAAAAGGACUAACUAGGAAAAAUUCCAGAAAGGAACAUGGGGAGAUAAAUCAGAAUAAUCUAAUUGUCAGAAGAAACAGAGCCUAGUGUUGAAAAGGAAGAGGUAGGCAGUUGGGUAAGUAGACAGCAGACUAUGGCUUUAGUGCAGGAUACUGCCCACUGGUUCCCAGAACAGGGCAUAUGAGUAAGCUUUCAUUCCCCUCCCCACCCUUCCCUUUCACCAUUGCUCCAAGAUGGCCUUUCAAAAUUCAACUCUGGAUAUUCUAGUCUUCUUGGAUAUCAUCUGCAUUUAUUCAUCUCCUCCCUCAAACCUAUUUUGCUCUCACCUCCUUACUCAAAGCUAUCUCUGAAAAUUAACACAGGCUGUAUACUGUAAUUUAGAUGUUCAUGUUUACAAGUAGUAAAUAUUACCAUAAUAUUUGUUCUAUAAUACUACCUAAGCAACAUACUCUUGUACUUCCAACUUAGAGCUCAUUUAGAUAUCAAUUGUAUUUGAAUAUUGCUUGAUUAAUAGCCCAAGUUUAUAAAUUUCAUAUAAAUUCAGUUGGAUCUAAUGAAUUCAAAGCAUAUUUAAGUUUAUUUGAAAGGAUCUUUUAAAAUGUGAAUGAAAUCAUACAAGUGGGGUGUACACUGCACAGACCCGUACCUUUCCUCUGGUCAUGCUCUAGUGCACUAUGACUACAGUUAUUUGUUACAGGCACACAAAGGUGGCACAAGCAUGAAGUGGGAUUUGAUGAGAGCAACUACUCUGCUAUGAAUUUAUUCACUGGGCACUAGUUAUGGAAUUUUACCCUCAGCAGUAUGUUCAUUCAUGGGAAAACACAGAAAUAGUUACAGCAUAAAAGAUACCCUAAUUAUUUGAAUGUUUUACCUACACAUGUGUUUUGCACCACACACAUGCCUGGUUCCUGCAAAGGUAAGACAAGGGCAUUGUAUCAUUCUGAACUGGAAUGAGGGAUGACUGUGAACCACUGUGUGGGUUCUCAGAAUCAAACCCAGGCCCUCUGAAGAAGCAGCAAAGACUUUAAACCCCUGAACCAUUUCUCAAGCUCCAUAGAUACAUUUAAUACUGCAUCUAUUGUCAAUAUUUACAAUAUAGUCAUUUCCAAAAAUUAUCACAAAUGAGAAUUAAAGCUUGUCACCUCAUCUCUACAUUAUGUGUUUCUAAUAUAAUAAAAAGAAACAGUUGAUGGCAUAAUAUGCGAAGCAGUCUGUCUGGAUGCAUACUUUAGCAUUCUGAGUCUCAAAUAUCAUAUAUAUGCUUUGUUUUUCAAAUGUUAUUCAUUUAGUUGGAACUCUUAAAAACAUAUUGUCUCAAACAGCCUUAGGAGAAAUAUAAUAACAGUGACUAGGUGUAAUAGGAAAGCACUUACAGAUUAAUGAUGACUAGAGAGAACAAACAAACAAAAUUAAAAAUUUAUAAGUCUGCUACGAGAACUUUUUCUGAGUCCUUUUUUCCUUUCAACCAACAAUAACAGAAAGAAUGGAGGAAGGAGAAGGAUCAAGCACUGAUUCUGCCAAAAAUGCUUUAAGCUCUCUUAUUCAUCACAAAGAUCAUCUGCUUCUCUCCAUCAAUGGACCUUCCCUAAAGGACUUUUUGAAACUUGUGGAGACAUCGUUUGGUCAUCACAACCAGAGAAGUACUGAUUAUGGCAUCUCUUGGGAAGACACAAGGAAUACUGCUGGAAUCCCCACAACACAGUGAAAUCUUUUAUUCCAUCCCCCAAAUAUCAGCAGUGAUGAAUUUGAGAACACCUUCACUUAAUUGACUCUUACUUUAGUAAAAUAAUUUCAGGACAAAAUAGGAAUCUUUCUUUGGAGAAUACUGGAGGAAUAUAAAGGCAGGAAGAAAAAGUUAGCAGAACCAAAAUCUUUCAGGUAACUUUCAGAAAGUACUCUUUGAAAACAGUUAACUUUUCUGAAAAUCAACGCAGGAAGUGAAAGCAUGCCUCACAGUUUCAGAUUUAAAUUCAGUGACGCUCAGAAUAGCAUUUGAAAUCCCUGUUUUGGAGACAGAUUCUUUGCAUUUAGGAUGAUUUUCCAUUUACAUUCUGUAACACCAACACAGGAUAUGAAACACAAAAUACAGAAGCAUCUAGGUUUUCCAUUAUUGGCGUGGUAUAGUCUGCAAGGACAUCAGGACUGAACAGUUACUUACCUGGCUAAUACCAAAGACUGGGACUUUGGAAGCAGUAAACUUGAGUAUGUGAUAAAGUAGAAGCAGUGCUCUUGUGGAACUGGAAAGGGAUUAGUGGGACCUUGGAACUGCCUGGGAACCGCAUGCUUUUCUGUCAGGAAAUCAGGAGCUAAGAUGCAGUUGAGACUGGGUUGACAGAAUCAGGUCAAAGUGUUCUGCUCUAUUUUGAUGUGUCUUAAUAUGGAGUUACUUGGAUGGAGUUAAAUCUAUAUAGCUCUGAAUCUGGGGGAAGAAAAGACACUCCAGCACACAUACACACAGGGAGCUUCUUCCAGAAGCUAACUUUAGGUAUGAAUACUAACUCAUCCAAAUGCUCAGGAGCUCUGGAAACUUCUUGGUGCUUCCAAAUAAUUUAAUGUCUAUUGAAAUAAGGCAGUAUGAACACAGCAGCAAAGUACUCCAUCGAACAAAAUUAAAACCAACUAGACUAGUUACUUGCAGCAAUAAGUGUAAAGUUUUUGCUAUUGAUAAAUUGAUGUACUGUUAUGCAAAACUGAACUGUAGAGUAACUUCAGGUUUGCAGAAAUAUUACCUAGAUGAUGCAGAGUUUCAAUAUGUGCCAUUUUCCUCUAGUAGAACUUCAUAUUUUAUGAUUGAUAUAAAGUAUAUUUUUGAACCAA